GGAAACCCACGAGCAACACAGACUAAGAGUGAAAUAUUAUAUACGGCUCUAACAUCCAGGAGUGUCUACAACAAGUGAGUACAUGAACGAAACUACUAGCUAAAGGUAGAAUAGAAGGAGACUCUUUGGCUCUGCGGACGCGGCAGAUGCACACCUCGAAUCUCCAAGUGUAUCUGCGAGAUCACUAAUAGCGCGCCCGUCCAGAAGUACCUGGAUCUGCACAACAAAAGUGUGCAGAAGAGUAGUAUGAGUACACCACAGCGNNNNNNNNNNNNNNNNNNNNNNNNNNNNNNNNNNNNNNNNNNNNNNNNNNNNNNNNNNNNNNGUAUGAGUACACCACAGCGGUACUCAGUAAGUGCCAAGCCUAACCUCGGUUGGGUAGUGACGAGGAAGGUCGAGGCCCUAUUGAGAUAAACAUAAGAAUAGAUAUGAAAUGAAUAAACAAUAAGAAAUACAAUAAAUCUCGAGUAUCUAACAAACAAUAAGUAGAAUGGAACAGGCUAAAAAUACAAUCUACGAAUACAAGAUCAACACUCAAAAAUCAGGAUGCCACAUGGAGCUCCGAGAAUUGAACCCGCAGUCCAUUUUACCAAUAUCUGAUGAUCUCCGGGAAUUGAACCCGCAGUCCAUCACCACAUGGAGCUCCGGUAAUUGAACCCGCAGUCCACUUUACCAAUAUCUGAGGAUCUCCGGAAAUCGAACCCGUAGUCCAUCAUAUCAAUAUUAGAGGAUCUCCCGGGAAUCGAACCCGUAGUCCAUCUUAUCAAUAACAGAGGAUCUCCCAGGAAUUGAACCCGUAGUCCAUCAUAUCAAUUACAGAAGAUCUCCCGGGAAUUGAACCCAUAGUCCAUCAUAUGAAUAAUAGCUGAUCUCUUGGGAAUUGAACCCGUAGUCCAUCAUAUUAAUAACAGAGGAUCUCCCGGGAAUUGAAUCCGUAGUUCAUCAUAUCAAUAAUAGAGGAUCUCCCGGGAAUUGAACCCGUAGACCAUCAUAUCAAUAAACACAUCACAACAAUUCAAUAUUUAACAGAAAGAAGCUAACUACAAGCAACAUGUAAAAUCUAGAGUCUAGCAUGCUCACAAAAAGGACAGAUAUUGCAAUUUAGUCAAUUAGAGCAAAUAAGUUACUAACAUGCUUUCCCUAAGCUAAAACAAGAAACAAAAAAGGACAGAUAUUGCAAUUUAGUCAAUUAGAGAAAUAAGUUACUAACGUGCUUUUCCUAAGCUAAAACAAGCGAAAUUGCAUUUUUGACAGUUAAAUAGGUGAAGAAACACAGUCUAAAUAAGUCAAGUAAGGUGGAUUUUAAUAACUAGCACAAGUACACGCCCUUCACCUCGCGCACAAGGAAUUUAAACAACAACAAAGAUAUCCUAAGGGGAGAGGUACCCCACACAAGGUUAGACAAGACACUUACCUCGAAUUGGUACAAAACCGCUAAGAAACAAUGCCCUUGCCACGAGAGUCCGACUCCGAGUGGCCCAAAUCUAUUCAAACAAAUUACAUAUUGUAAAUAACAUCGCAAGUAACUAAUUACACUGUUAAAAUUAAAGCUAAGGCACGAGUAUCCGAUUCCGAGUGGCCCAAAUCUAUUCAAACCAAUUACAUAUUAUAAAUAACAUCGCAAAUAACUAAUUACACUAUUAAAAUUAAAGCUAAAGCGUGAAAAUAGGUGAAAUGACCAAAAUCCCCCCUCAGGUAAUGUCUCGGAAUCGAAUAAUUUUUACAUUUUCAGAAAUCUUGUACUCUCACGAGUCUAACCAUAUAAAAUCUCCCAAAUAGGAGGUCAAAUACCCCUUCAACUUAUCAAAGUUAGGUCUAAGAACUUUAUCCCAAUUUUCAUUCAAAAUCCGAAAUUAAAUCUUGAAUUCAAGAUUAUAUUAGCGGGUAAUAAUCAUAAUGGAGUAAGGAAUCGUUACCCAGUGUUUUCCUGUGAAAAUCCCUCGAAAAAUCUCCCAACACCGAGCUUUCUAGCUUAAGUUUGAUGAAAAGGGAAGAAACCUCGUUUUCGAAAUAUUAAUGUCUGCCCAGGUAUUUCGUAAAUCGCGAUCGUGAAGAGAGAGACGCUAUCGCAAAGAGUAAAAUAGAGGCUUCCGGGAAAAAGCCAUACGCGAUUGCGGAAAAGAGCAUGCGAUCGCGGACGAGGAUGAAAUGGCCUUACGUGAUCGCGUAAGAAGGAACGCGAACGCGAAGAGGGGAGAGGUAGAGUUACGCGAUCGCGAACAAAUCCCUGCGAUCGCAAUUAAGGAAGUUGGGACCCUACCAGAUUGGCCUAUGCGAUCGCGUGAAAUGGGACGCGAUCACGAAGAAGGAAAAAUAGGCCUGCAACAUCUGAAGAAUUGUGCAAUGUUUUCAACUCCAAAAAUGCUCCUUGAGCAUUCGAAACACACCCGAGGCCCCCGAGACCUCAACCAAACCUACGGACAUAUCCCAUAACACUAUUAAAACUUGUACCAAUCCUUAAACCACCUAAAACAACACCGGCAACUUGAAUUAAUCAAUGAUUUGAACUUAAAAACUUCAAAACUUAACCAAACUCUCUUUCGGUUCAAAACAUAACCAAAACAUCUCUGUUUGACCUGAAAUUAUGCACGCAUGUCCCAAUUGAUAUGACGGUGCUACAGAGACUUCCGGAAUCCUGUUCCUACCCUCAGAUAAGAAAUUCACUAUCGGAUCGGAAACUUCAAAUUUCUAGCUUUCGGCAUUUUUAGCCUAAAUGAGCUACGGACAUCCAAAAUACAUUUCUAGCACGCUCCCAAACCCCAAAUCACCUAACAGAGCUAACGAAACCAUCGGUUUUCCAUUCUGAGGUCGUCUUGACAUUGUUCUGAUUACGAACUAUUUUUCAACACUUAAGCUCUCAUUUAUGGACUAAGUGUCCCAAAACACUCCGAAUUCUAUUAUCGAACAUCCCGGCAAAACAAAAUAGUAUAAAUGAACUUAGGAAAAACAGUUAAUGGGGAAACGGGGCAUAAAUUCAAAAGACGACCGGCUGGGUCGUCACAUCCGGGGCUCGGGUUUUGCCAACUUCGUGAUUUUUGGUGUUUUUCGAGUCUUUUCGAUUGGGUUGUGUUCUAUUAGCCCAUUGUAAUGUAUUCGUUGGGGUUUUGGUUAGAUUCGAUGCAGGAGGAGGUCAAUACGAGAGGAAAUGGCAUUGGGAGCUAGUCUUCGGCCAGUUUGAGGUGAGUAAUAGAUGUAGAUGAUGACCUGAUGGUUUGAAACCCUAGUAUAUCACAUUGUGACUCUGUAACGAGGCGAGACACGUCCUCUACAGUGAGUGCGGGUACGUUUGUGGAUGGGGACUAUUUCUUAGUCCGUCCGAGUGAUGUUCACACUGUGUUAUUUACUAGAAAUUGAUCGGUAAACAUCCUACUUGAAUUGUUAUGAGUAUAUUUGGGCUGCACGCCGAUUAUUUGGAUCCCUUAGGGAUUAUUGUCAUUGUUUCCAAGAUGUUGAGCAUGUUUUCAUGAUAUCAGUACUGAGUUAAACACUGUCUCAAAAUGAUCAGUAAAUUUCUAAGGCUUAAACGCUUAAGCUAUAAUUCCUGAUAAUUAGAACUGAAAAUGAUAAAUUUGAUUGUGCUUGUGUGGCUUGCAUGCAUAUAACUGGACUGAUUGUGGAUCGGGCUGCACGCCACAUCGAAUGCUAUGAUGAUAUUGUGCUUGGGCUGUAGGAGAUCUUCCAGAGCCUGAACACCCACACUGAGCGCGGGUACCCAAAUGGAUAGUGUUGUACUCCGCAGCGGUCAUGUGCAUUGCAUUGAUGCAUUGAUAUCUAGUUGUCUACCUGUCAUUGAUUGUUGUUGUUUCACUGUUAAAUGUGCUAAGUUGUUAGUCUCAGCUUUACACUGUGGUAUUUUCAAGAUUUGUUACUUUUAGUUAUUAUAUAUGUCUAUUACCACCGAGUUGGAAGUACUCACUUCACUCUUUGCACCAUGUGUGCAGAUACAGGAGCAUCACGAGCUUAGGUGUACUGUUGUUGUUCCCAGAUUUAUCCUGGAGUUGUCGAUGUAGCUGCUAGGCAUCCGCAGGACCCGACUCCUCCCAUAUCAUUUUUUUUCCCGCAUCUUAGACUUUUAUUUGUUUUGAUUUGCUACUCAGUUGUACUUAAAGGCUCUAGACUCAUGACCCCAGAUUUGUUGGGAGUUGUACUGGUAUUGCUUAUGGUUUCCGUACUAUUUCUAUCUAUUAUCACUACUUGAACUAUACAAUCUGAAAAUUUAACUCUAUUAAUUAGUAAUGGGUUUCGUAUUUGGGUUGAGAGUGUUCAAUGGUCGGGCUUGCCUAGCAAAUAUUGUUGGGCUCUAUCACGGCCGGUAUUGGGGUCGUGACACCAGACCAUGGAAUAAAUUAGGAUGAUUUCAUUUAGUGUUGUGCCUUUCCACUUAGUGAAUCAAGUCUGAACCUUAGCCUAGAGCAAUUAAAAUUUCUUCAAGCCUUCUUUAAUUAAUUAGGCCCUUUAAUAGUUUGUGGUGCGCUAUGCCAAAUAUAAAUCUCAAAUGUGUGGCCCUCACUUAGCUAGCCAUAUAGCGAAUUUUCCAUGGCCCUCGCAAAUUUAAAAAUGCGUAGUUGCUUUAGGCGCGUAUUUUAAAAUUACCUUUCUAAAUUCAGGUGUGUAUUUCAUAUGACCCAAAUCCAUAUCUUAACAACGUUAAAUAAAAUAUGUCUCUGACUACAGGUGCAUUUCAUGUGGUGCGGUACAAAGACGUAUUUUAGAUGACGUUAAAAUCUUCCUUAAAAUAAUUAAAAGUAAUUUUUAAAGUUAAAAUGCACAUAGGUUUAAAAGUUUUCUAAAAUCAUAUAAUUAGGCCAAUAAUAACAGUUGAGAGACCGUGCUAGAACCACGAACUCGGAAAUACCUAACACCUUUUCCCGAUUAACAGAAUUCCUUACCCGAAUUUUUGUUUUCGCGGACUGAAAAACAGAGUCAAUCUUUCCUCGAUUCAGGUUUCUAAAUCGAUGACUUGGAACAUCAUGAAUUAUCCCAAGUGACGACUCUAAAUUUUUUUAAAUAAAAUAAUCCUGUUUUGAUAGUCAUUUUAAGUUAGAAAUAAGCUCUCUUAUAACCUUUGCAGAUAUAUGAAAAAUGAGGUGUAACAGCUCGGCUAUCACAUGUAUCUCCUACAAAGACUGAAUGGAAUAAUUAUGCAGAAAUCUUUAUUUCACCAACACAUUCCUUCAAUGGUCGAGUAGUUCAAAUAACUAAUUUCUUGUCUUUAUGAAACACCAACUCUAAAUAUAGCUUGGAAGUAUAUGUUAAGUUGCAUAAAAAGUUUGUUAAGGAGAUUUGAAGCCUAAAAUUUGGAUAUAGAAAGAAUAUUACUACUUAUAUAAAGGUAGAAACUAAUUACUUACAUCAAGAAGAAGAGUUACGGUAAGACAGGAUCACCAUUCUCCUCUCACGACAUAAAUUUAAUAUUGAAUCGUAUUCGCCUCUUUUAUUAUCUGGAAAUGACUGAAAACAUGUUUCUACUCAAUCCAAGCUUAUUUAUAAUUUGAAAUAAUUUAUUUGAAACACCAUCUGCAUAUCAAUUGCAAAUUAAUUACUGUCCUAGUCAUAUUAAAGAAGUACCACUACUGAAAGAAAUUGUUGAUCAAGCGUGUACAACAGAAAAGCAUAGACAAAUUCAUCAGUUAAAGCCUCAUUAAGCUCUCAUAUACAUUUAAAUCCGACUGUCAAAAAAUUAUCACACAAUGAAUAUUCAACAACUGAAGAAAUAUCAUAACUGACAAUUUUAUCAAUCAAGCAAGUAAAACUACAAAGGUCAGCACCAACUAUUAAGUAUUGCAAUAAUAUUUUCAAAACAUACAAAAAAUAAUUUUAUAAAAAACCUAAAUUUUCACAUUGUUGCAUAAAACUUUUUAUGUCAAGAUCAGCACAACGUUUCUUAAACUAACCACAAUCAUGCAGAACCAAAAACUUACUUCAUAAGGUAUGAAAGUAUUUUAGAAUCUUAGUAUAAAACCAACAGUAGCAAAAUAUUUAAUUUGAAAUUAUAAAAAUUACCCAAUAGAUAUAAACCUCAUCGCGGUUGUUAUCGAUUAUUUCUUUCAUCCAUAAAGUCUCCAAAAAUGAUACAUGUUAGUAUCCACAAAUUAUUUGACUUCAUGGGGUUGAUCUUCACUUGAGGCCAGCAGACAUAACUAUCUCAUCAUGAAUAGAUGAUUUGAACACAAGAACCUUCAUGUUAGUAGCCUUACUGAGGAAACUUUCGAGAACAUUGAAUGUCUCUUUUGUUGAUCAUUCUUAAAGGUAAAGUAAAGACUUACGGGACUACCUCAUUAUAAGGAAACCACCGAUCACUGGAGAAUUGACUUUCAGUUGAAUAACUUGACAUUUGAUCCUUUUUUAUCAUCCGUAAUUUCAUGAUAUGGAUAUGAAAUUUCCUGAUAUUUCAAGUGUCAUGGUAGUUUGAUACUGAACUCAAGUUGUAACUCUGUAGAAGUAUGAGUGAAAGAAAUGAAAGCAUUAAAAUAAAAAAUACUAUACUAUCAAAAAGAGACGAUGUACCAAUAAAAUAUAACUUUUAUUGUCAGAAAGCGUCAAAGUUAUAAAAAACACAAUGACAAAAAUCAAAAUUGAUCUCAAAAGAAUAUCUGUAUAAAUUUACAGAGAAUCUUAACCUAAUUUUUGUAUAUAUUGUAGCUCCAUAAGUUGUAUUUCAAACGGCACAAACAGAUCAUAGUUUUGACAUGUUUGCAAAAAGAUAUAAUUUUUUUAGUGAGGACGCGUAAAGGAUACCAAUAUAUGUUAAAUAAAUUCAAAAGCAUAUAUUUAUGAAUAUACAAAGAAUCUAGAUCUGUUUUUUGUAUAUAUUUGGUUCUCGAAGAGCUCUUUUCAACGGCACAAGCGAAUCAUGAUUUUGAGGCAUCUACAAAAAGAUAUAACUUUUUUAGUCAAGACGUGUUGUUUCUAAAAAUUUCAUCAUUCAUGGGUAGAAUUAUUUGAGGAAAGAAGGAUUGAGAAGAAAGAAAGUGUAAAGAAAAGAGAUGUGACCUCUUCUGUGACCUAACUUCAUGAGGUUGAUAAAAUGGUGUAUCUCCACGCCAAAAUUGUCUACUUCAACAUCUGAUGAAAGUUGAAAACAAUAGAUUUGUUGGCAGGGAUAAAAGUCACUAAAUUAAAUAAUUAUUUUCUUGAUAGGUUGAAUGUCUAUAAGAAUAAGUUAUGGCCGUCCAUUAGAAUUAUUAUUUCAAGCCCACAUUUGAAAAGACAAACUGGUGGUUUUAUUUUUCUUUUCCUACUUCAUUGUAA
rnacentral:lncRNA from 1 species